UACGUAGGGUGCAAGCGUUAAUCGGAAUUACUGGGCGUAAAGCGUGCGCAGGCGGUUGUGCAAGACAGAUGUGAAAUCCCCGGGCUCAACCCUGGGGAAUUGCAUUUGUGACUGCACGGCUAGAGUGUGUCAGAGGGGGGUAGAAUUCCACGUGUGAGCAGUGAAAUGCGUAGAUAUGUGGAGGAAUACCGAUGGCGAAGGCAGCCCCCUGGGAUAACACUGACGCUCAUGCACGAAAGCGUGGGGAGCAAACAGG
rnacentral:rRNA from 1 species